rnacentral:lncRNA from 1 species
GGAGGGAUUGCUCAACAUCAAAAGUCCUCUGCUAUUACAGAUGAAUCCUAUUCACAAGAAAGUUCCAGUAUUGAUUCACAAUGGAAAACCAAUUUGUGAGUCUAUUAUUGGAGUUGAGUACAUUGAUGAAGUGUGGAAGGACAAAGCCCCUUUGCUACCUUCUGAUCCUUAUGAGAGAGCACAAGCUAGAUUCCGGGCUGACUACAUUGACAAGAAGGUAAAUUCAUAUCCUAUCCUGUUCUCUUUUCUAUGGGAUGCUCUAGCUGAUGUCAAGUACUCUAUCCGUUUCAAUUUGCUUGUCCUACUUUUCUUGUUAGUCUGUUUUAAAAAGAAUUUUUCUUUCCUUUUUUGGCAACUCUUUAGUCUCAACCUAGUUUUCCCUAGGAUCCAAGAUCCAUUUUACUUUUAUGGUAGUUUUUGGCGCAACUAGUGAUUAUAACCUUUUUGUUUUUCUAUGUUUGGUGUAAUUUUCAGUUGUAUGAUUCUGCAAGGAAGAUAUGGGGAACAAAGGGAGAAGAGCCGGAGGCAGGUAAGAAAGAUUUCAUAGAAUGCCUUAAGGUACUGGAGGGAGAACUUGGAGACAAGCCUUAUUUUGGAGGGGAUAACUUUGGUUUUGUGGAUAUUGCUUUGAUUGGGUUCUACAGUUGGUUUUCUGCCUAUGAGACUUAUGGUAACUUUAGCACAGAGGCUGAGUGCCCAAAGUUUGUGGCAUGGGCCAAGAGGUGCAUGCAGAGGGACAGUGUCGCUAAGUCAUUGCCUGACCAACAUAAGGUCCUUGAGUUUAUAAAAGUUCUUAGGAAGAAGUAUGGAGUUGAAUAAACAUAUUGAAAAAAGGCACUUCACUGUGCCUUCUUGAGUUGUUGUUUCAAGAUUUGAGAAGUUUGUAAUUUGGGCAUGGUUUAAGUAAUACUUUUACCUGUAAUAAAGGACUCUAUUAAGUUGUCUUGUUGGAGGUUGGCUUGUGUAGUCCUUGUAUUUAAUUCUGUUUUUUCUUCUUUUCUUGUAAUGAGAAGUAAUCACUUUUUUAACGUCUAUAGAUUGAAGAUUUAGUAUACUUAAUUGAAUAGGAAUUUGAGAGAGAUUGUACUUCCAAUUAAAUUAUUUUCACGAAAAUGGUCAUGAAAUUAAAAUUUUACUUUCUAGCCAUUUCAAUUUGCUGGCUUCUUCUAUAUCGUUUUUACACACCUUCUAUACAGUUUCUAUACAUAUCUUAUACAUAUAAAUAUUCAAUACGAAAACGUUUUAAUGCACAAUUUAUACAAUUAUUGUACAUUUUUUUUUACAUAUUUUAUACAAUAAUUAUAUAAUUUUUGUACAAUUUCUAUAUAUUUUUAUAUAUAUAUUUUAUACAUAUAUAUAUUUGAUAGAAUUAUACAAUUUCUAUACAUAUAUCUUAUAUAGAUACAUAUUCUAUAUAAUAAUUAUACCGUUUUUAUAUAAUUAUAUUUAAUUAUUAUUUCUGAACAAUAAAAAAAGUAGAAUAUUUUUCAAUUAAAAAAUUUAUAGCAAAAAAAAAACUUAAAUAUUUUUAAAAGGGCCGAAUGACCCAAGUUGAAAACUGUAUCAGUAUUGUAUAUGGAUUGUAUCAGUAUUGUAUAUGGACUCUGAACUAUAUGAGCCAAAAUGACCCAAAUUAGGAAAUGACUAUAAAAUGAAAAUAGUAUACCCGACUGGUCACUUUUUGACAAAAUCUCAAACUUGGGCUAUUUGUUUUAAAAAGUACUACACAGUGUGCUUUUCCCUAAUUGAAUUACACAAGGACUUCAAUGUAGUCCAAUAAGAAUAAUAAAUAAAAGAGAAAAUGGCCAAAAAAAAUUCCAACCUUUAGUCCAAAUCCCAACUACACACCUAUACUUUGCGGGGGUCCUAUAACCCCCCCUAAACAUUUUAAAAAUUGAAUAUUAACACCCCUAAAGGAUGAUAUGGUAAGAGAGUGCAUUUCACUCUCUCUUGAGAAAGUGAGAACAAUGAAAAUUAUAUAUUAAAAAUUUAUUUUAAAUAUUUUUUAUAUAAAUAUAUAUAAUUUCAAUUAUUAUUUUUUCUUAUUCUUUUCUUUUGUCUUCUUCUUCUCUUUCUUAAAACAAAAAAUUCCAAGAACCCAUUAAUGGUGUUCCUCAUCUUCUUCAUCUCCAAUUUCAUUAUCUUUCUCUAUCUUUCUUGAACUCAUUAAUAAAAAUUAUAGAGAAAAUGAUCAAUUACCCCUCUAACCUUUAGUCGAAAUCCCAAAUAUACAUUCAACCUUUAUGAGAGUCCCAUUACCCAUUUAAAUAUUUUUUCAGUGUAUUUUAUACCCCUCCAAUUGCUGACGUGUCAAUAUAAAUCAAACAAUUACCCAUGCGUGUGUACACGCGUCGGACCCACCUACUUUUUAGUUCCCUCCUAAAAUGCUAUUUUCAUGGAUGCCACUCACAUCUCUCAGCUCUCUACACACACACACCAUCUACAACACUACAAACAAAGAAAUCACACAAUACACAGACUACUCUACACAGCCAAACACGAGAGAGGGGAGAAACAGUGAAAGAAAAGAGUGAAAUAGAGAGAAAAACAGAGGGGAGGUCCAUCGGGAGAGAAAACAACUCCCUUUUCCAUCUUUCGCCGGCGAAAUUUCGCUGGAAUAACUCCGACGAAUUCAUCUUAUUUUUCAUCUUUUUCCAACCAAAUCCUACUAGAAAAUAAUCGUAAACAUCAAAUUAGCGAUGAAAAUGUCCGAAACAAACCCAUCUCGCCAUAAAUCUACCAGAAACACCAAGAUUUCGAUCAGAUAUCUCAUUGAAAACCCCCACUUUCCAUUCACAUUCAGAAACCACACUCAUUCACUAUUCCCCUUUGAUAAUUUUAGUCAUCAUAUAUUAUUGGGAAUACACAUGCAGUGAAGUGAAUUUUGUUUAUUGAAGAAGAAAAUAUCUGUGUAUGAUGCGGAAUUUGUGAACAGUUAGUUACCAAAGAACACUUCGAUUUUUGGAUUGAAAUUGUGGGUGGUUAUUGGGAUCUUUGCUGGAGCUGUAUUUUUUUUGUUUUGAAAUAGUUCCUAUUUGAGUCUAACAACCAGUGUUUGAUAAAUUGAUGGAGAUCAAAAGUGUUCACUCUUGACAAACGGAAACGGAAAGGACCAAAACUGCUCUGCAAUCUAUGUAAGGGACCAUUUGAAGCUACCCCAAGUAAUAAGGGACAACUUUUGUUAUUUUCUAUACAUAGUGCUAUGGGUGAAAGAGUUUUGAAUUUAGAUCUCCAUAAUCAUUUGAAUGAAUUAUGACCUAAGUAGAGCACCAUGCGUACAAAGUUACAUAUAGCUGGCUCCGAUUAGUUUGGGACUAAGAUGUAAUUGAUUGAGCUUUAUAAUCAUUAUAUUUGUUCUCAUAUUCUUUCUUCUAUCACUGUGUAUCACCGCCUUUCGUCGUCGCACUACCACCCAGAAAGGCAAACUCCACCGUCCUAUCAAGGCUGAGCUCAGCCCAGUUAUCUCCAAGGAAAUCCAAGAGAUGAGAUUUGACAUUUGGAGAUAAAGAAUUAUCGUUGGGUUUAAUUGGAGAAGACAAAAUUAGUUAAUAAUAAAAAAUAAUGACAUGUAUUAUACAUGUGGUACUUAAAAAUAUUAAUUUUGUAGGGUUGAAGCCUCAACUGACGCGCCUAUUGGGGUGUUCUCACCUCCCAUGAUACGUCAGUAAUUGGAGGGGUAUAAAUUACAGUAAAAAAAAUAUUUAGAGGGGUAAUGGGACUCUUGUAAAGGUUGAGUGUGUAGUUGGAAUUUUGAAUAAAGGUUGGAGAGGUAAUAAACCAUUUCUCAAAAUUAUAUUAUCAUAUCACUUAAAUUUUUCACUAUCAGUACAGUUACUAAUGAAAUUAUAACUGUUAGUAAGUGGAUUCUUCACUUUCUGAAUCUUUCAACCAAAAAUAUCAAAUUUUUACUUCAAAUUUUUCGUAGAAAAAUGUCCAUCUAGUGACAUUAGUUUGCCAAAGAUGAAAAUUUCCUAUCACACCAAAUUCCCUAGUCACCAACAAUAUGGAGGAAUUUUUAAUUUACGACAGCUCAACAUGCUGGCCAUCAUAAUUGUGUUUUCUUCUAGUGACAUGGUUAGACUUGAAGAUUUCACCUUCAUAUUAUUCUCCCUUAUUUACAUCUUCUUCCUCUCCAAAAUUGCCUUCCCAAAAAUUUCAUCUCAAAUAAAUCCUCCGAUUUUCAACAACAAAAUUCUAAAUCUGUACGUUUCAAUUGGAGCCCUUAUAGGAUUAUUCCUCCCAAUAGUCUAUAUAUUCGAAGGAAUCUACGAGGGCGAUAAAGAAGGUAUCAAAGCAGCAACACCACAUGUUUUCUUGCUUGCCAGUCAUGUUUUUAUGGAAGGUGUUACUUUUAAUGGUAUAUUAAUUUCGUUGCCCAUAAGAGUUUUUGUUCUGGUUUAUAUAAUCCGAGAACAUUAAAGCAUAUACAUGGUGAAAAUAAGAUGGAUACUUCAAUUUCUUGGGGCUAUUAUGACUAUUUCUUUCUAUAUGACCAAUAUCUCCACAGCGGUAACACUUGUUCCUCAUCUCCAAUUUCAUUAUUGGUGGCUCUCCGGGCAUCGGAAUAAUGAAAGACGGGAAAUUUAUAUAAGGGGAAAAGAGAAAAGAGAAUGGAAAAGGGAAGAUAAAAGGGAAAUAUUAAAGAAAAAAGAAAAAUAAUUAUUUUUCUAAUAAAAAUAAAAAAUUACGUGAAAAUAUUACGUAGCAUUACAUGACACACGCGUGGUGCUCACUCUCCAAUACACAUGUGGGUAUGAGUUUUUAAGGGGUUAAUAAUUUUACUUUUAAAUAGUAUAGGGGGGUCAUAGGACUCCCGUAAAGUAUAAAUGUGUAGUUGAGAUUUGGGGUAAAGGUUGGAGAGCUUUUUGACCAUUUUCUCUAAAUAAAAACAUGUGAAAUAUUAGUAGAAAUAAAGAUUUUAGACGCUAUUGAAAGAAAUACUAAAAAUAAAUUUAACCAAAUAUUAAAAUAUCAUAAAGGAAUUUAAAAAGAUAGUAAAAUAUAAUUAUUUAUUUAUAUUUUAAAUCUCUUUGAUUUCUUUACUAUUUUAUUUAUAUCUUGGAUCUCCUUAGUAAAAAUUAUUACCCUAUAAAAAUUAUUACCCUAUAACAUCAAAUUAUGUAAUAUAAUUUUGGCUACUUGGAAAAUUUAGUUAAAUCCCUUUCCACCUAGAGAAAUUUGGCAGUUCAUAGUCAUGGUAAUGGUCCAUAGGGUGGAAUCACUACUAAAAAGAAUAGAAUAAUCGACACAAAAAAUUCGACCAAAUUGACCAUGUGUGAUCGAAUUUUAAUAUUUUUAUUUAUAUAUAUUUUUUAAAAAAUUGACCAUUUGUGACCGGUUUUCAAAAUAAACUAUUAAACCUCUAUAUUCCUGAACUAAAUCAUCACUUCUGUUCAAUCUUAAAUCCGACAACACUAGUACCGCCGCACCCCUUCUCCACCGUCGCGCGCACCAACGCCACCCUCACUUCUCCAUCUCCCAAAUUAAAUCUUCACUUCACCUCUUCACUCUCAAACCCAACACCCUCACUUCUCCACCCUCGUACACCACCCCAACACACAUCACUGCCACCCUCGCGCACCACCGCCGAUAAGCUCGACUAUCAAGAUAAAAAAUUUGUAAUUGCAAAUUGCUACUCUUUUGCCAACUUCUAGAGAUAAAACUAGAAAUUGUUGUUGUUAAAAGCAAUGUUUAGAAGAUGUCUAAAUGCUAUAUAUAUGAGUGAUUGAGCAUUCAAAUAAGAUUCAUUCAGUAAUCUGAUCUACAUUACUAAAAACAUUUGAGGAAAAAAGUUGGCAAUAUGUUCUCAAAUCUUAUUAGGGCGGACAAACACCCCUAGCCUUAAAGGCCCGAGAGCAUCAAUCUAUGACCUUGUACGUCUUGUGAAUGUAAAUAUGAUAACCAAAUGUUCUGUCAAAUAUGAUAUAAUGCAUCGAUGAGAAUAAACCACGUAGGCAAGCACAACAUAUACAAGAUUGGUUGUUGGGGCUACAACAUCUAAAAGACAAGAAACUACCAUGCUUAACUUUACAUCGGUCUACUAGGUUUCUAAAGAUAUAUAGUUUUAGUUAAGGUUGGGACAAACCCCCGCCUUACUCUUAACUACUGUACAAUAUCAAUACAUUUGUAACAGACUCGGAAAGCCACAAAUCAAUUUGGAGCUCACCAAUAGCCGCUAGUUAUCCUGUGCUCCUACUGAGAAGGUGUAUCAGCUGAACCACCUGUGCUUGUAGCAUGAAAUACAGGUCCCUCAUAAGGGACAUCAUUGUGAAAAUACGUACUAAAUAUGUAAGGCUAAAAGUAAAUACACAUAAUGCAAGAGCUCAAUUGAAAUCAGAUACAAGUGUAUAAAUGAUUCUAGUAUAUCACCUUUACAUAUACUUGUAGGAUCAAGUGUAUUACAUUCUUUUCUUCAUUUUAUCCUUAUUACUUUAUAAUCUUUGUAAGCCAUAUGACACAAAUGACUAGCUGAUUAGUUAUAAAUACACAAAUUGAGACCGUCUCAUGCCAGGCUUACGCCCUUGAGCUACCACCCAUAUAUAAACAAAUUGGGAUCGACCCAUGCAAGACUUUCGCUCCAGAGCUGCCACCCACAUAUAAAGGGAUUGGGAUCAGCCCAUGCUAGACUUGUGCCCUUGAGCUGCCACCCGUGUAAUGCAAAUUUGCAUUAUUUAGUUUAACUAACAUUUGAGAUUGUUACUUUAGUAGACAUAAUAUUAUCGGACUUUGGAACAAUAACCAACCAGUAAGAGACACGUGAAUAAACACUUAAUGCAAUAACAAUGAGGUAGGGAGCAGUUUGCACACGAAUGAAAUGUUUAGGAGCUAAAAAUAACAUAUGGGUAUUAUUUGAAAUAAAAGAGAACUCGUGAAACUUGAUAGUGGAAGUAGACAUGCAAACUUGAUAAUAAAUACGUAUUGACAUGUUUUAAUACAUAAGAGAGUGGGAACAAGGUCGUUAGAGAUAUGAGAGAUCAUGACUGCCACUACGUAUCUGUAACGAUCCGAGACUACCCCCUAGUCGUCACACGGUGCUUGGAAGUGAUCCCAAACUAAACCAUGAACUGGCAUACUGUUAAGCAACUGAAAUAUAAUAAAAUGAAUAAUAAGUUUUGCCGUGCAGAAUCAUAGUCAUGUCAUAAUCUGAAUAAAUACAUUUCUGAUAAAGUUUAUAAUCUGAUAAAAACUGAAGGAUAAAACUGAAAUUACAUGACUGAUUCUAACUGACAUCUAUGAAGUCUCUACUAUACUGACUAUAGAUAGCUGGGACAUGCCUCCAACUACCACUAAUCAAUACACAUGAAAGUAAAUGAACAGUACAUAAACUAAAACUGUCUGGAGUUCCAGAAGUAGGAGAACUCAUCACCUGCUGGCUGAAAUCUGUACUGUCUGAUCGUGAUGUGCGGGCAACAACUGGUACCUACUUUAUGAAACAAUGUAUCCACACAGACGCAUAUGCGGAUCAAUACUUCUGGAAUGUACUGAUUAUGUGGGGGUGAAUGCAAUAAGUAAAACUGAUUUCAUACGUAAUCGUAAAACAUGCAUGCUAAGUAUAAGUAGACUCACCAAUAGGCUGGAAUAAACUGAAAACUGAAAUAUCUUAAAGCAUGAGUGACAAACAUUCUCUAAUAAGAUGGUGAAUCUCUAUACUUAUUUUCUGUAAAACUUUACUUUAAUGAUAUAAGUAUAACUGAAGCUGGGAUAUGAUAAAACAUAGAUACUGUAUGAUUACUGGGGCUAAAACUACGUGAUGGAGACUGACAUAAAUUGAGGAUCUGAAUAUACAAUCACACUGAGCAAGAAUGCGUAAACAUACUAACGUGUCUGAUUAACUGAAUGACUGAUAGCUGAAUACUAGACAUGUAAGACUGAACUAUACUUAGUCUGAAUAACUGGACUCAAACUGUAGAGUAUGAUGCACAUGAAGAAAAGACUAACUGAGUAACAUGAGAUAACGGAGCAUGAAUUUAUGAAAAAUUGUAUUAUUUGAGAAUGCAAGACCAAGCGUAUAGCAUGAUUCUGAAAUAGUCUAUAAACUGAGGUACAAAUAAAAUACUGAUAACUGAAUAACUGAUAAUUGUACGCUAUGGAUCUGAAACUGAACUGAGUUACUGAUCUAAUUACUGAACUAAGACGGUAACCGAUACUGUAACUGAGACUGUACUGGAGCUGAAAAUUGAGCUCUGAUAACUGAGUUACUAUAACUGGGUGACUAUUUCUGACAAUCCUGAUUCUGAAGAACUUAACUAAGUUCUAUACUGAGUCUAAAACUGAAACUGUGGGAGGUAUCAUCUAACCGACAUGCCCCAAUCUGAGCUAAUCAGGGUCCAACCUGUAACCCCAGUUGGAAGGGUGCCAGUACCGUGCCACGGGUAAAGACAAGCUGAAGAGUCACCCUCAAUCUGGCAGGUACUCUGAAUGAGAACGGUGGUACCCUCAAUCUGACAGGUAAAACACCUCAUCAACCCUCAAUCUGGCAGGUUGAUGUCUCAACCUACGCUGGCUAUAUAGUUUUGGAACACAAGGACUAUUUCUAAGGAUCACACUCUCUACUGGCAGGGGAAUCCCCAUCCUUGGGUUCACUCGGUGCUGAAUCCUACUCCUAACUGAAUAGACACUGAAUUGAUUUCUAAACCGUACUAGGCUGGACUGAACUAUUACUGAUCGUGUUAACUGACUGAACUGGACUGAGUUCACUGAGUUCUGUAACUGAUUUAGUACUUCUGUUCGUGACAUUACUGAGACUAUUCUGAAGCUACUGUAAUUCUAGGUAAACAACUAGAUUUUCGGGUAUUAAAUACCCCCAGGACUCGAUAACAAUAACACCAAGACCAUACUAAGGUUUUGAGGACAUGAUAGGUUGUCAUUAUUUAAAGAAAUCCAUCACUUAGGCAUUUCAUCAAACACUUGCAAUUUAUUGGUUAAACUAAGCAUGGGGUUAGUUUUAGACAUGUAGCAAUAGCAUGAAAUCAAACAACAAACAAACAACAACAAACCCAGUAUAUUCCCACAUAGUGGGUUCUGGGGGGUAAGAUGUACGCAGUCCAUACCACUACCUCCAGAGAAGUAGAAAGGCUGUUUCCGAUAGACCCCCGGCUCAAGACAUAGAAUAAUACAUAAAUCCUUAAUAAAGCAUGGAACAAGAUGACAGUACAUACCUACGCCACCCACAAGGAAUAAUAAUCAAAAAGCAGUAAACAAACUCGUAAUAAAGCAUGCAACAAGGUGUCAUAAUAAGAAUAAUACCCUACUAAGUAAUGCCCUACCCCAGCGACCCAAAAUGGCACUAGCCUUCUAUCCUAAUUCGCGUCCUCCAGAUCUUCCUAUCUAGGAUCAUGUCCUCUAUGAGCUGUAACUGCUCUAUGUCCCGCCUGAUAACCUCUCUCCAGUAUUUCUUCGGCCUACCCCUACCCCGCUUGAAACCAUCCAAAUCAAGCUUCUCACACCUACGAACUGGGGCAUUCGUGCCCCUCCUCUUCACGUGUCCGAACCAUCUCAAACUGACUUCUCGCAUCUUGUCCUCCACCGAAGCCACUCCAACCUUUUCCUGAAGUCUCAUUUCGAACUCUAUCACCCCUAGUAAGCCCACACAUCCAACGCAACAUCCGCAUUCCCGCCACCCUUAAUUUUUGAAUGUGAGAGUUCUUGACUGGCCAACAUUCUGCUCCAUACAACAUGGCCAGACGGAUUGCCACCCUGUAGAAUUUGCCUUUAAGCUUAGGCGGUACCUUCUUAUCACACAACACCCCCGAGGCGAGUUUCCACUUCAUCCAUCCCUCCCCAAUCCGGUGGGAGACAUCCUCGUCAAUUUCACCAUUCCCAUGAAUCAUGGACCCAAGAUAGCUUCUUACACACCGCUUGGGAAUCCAAUUUUACUACCACCUCAUCUUCCUGCCUCAAGCCAUUAAACUUGUAUUCCAAAUAUUUUGUCUUGCUCCUGCUCAACCUGAACCCUUUAGACUCAAGGGUCUGUCUCACACUUCUAAUUUAUCAUUUACACCCCCCGCUUCUCGUCAAUCAAAACUACAUCAUCAGCAAAAAGCAUACACCAAGGCACCUCUCCUUGAAUACGCCGCGUCAACAUAUCCAUCACCAAAGCAAACAAGAACAGGCUAAGAGUAGAUCCCUGGUGCAACCCUGUCACGACAGGAAAAUAGUCUGAGUUGCCUCCCGCCGUCCUCACCAGAGUCUUGGCUCAAUCAUACAUGUCCUUGAUUACUCUGAUAUACGCCACGGGGACCUUGCUCACCUCUAAGCAUCUCCAAAGAACCUCCCUAGGGACUUUGUCGUACGCCUUCUCUAAGUUGAUAAACACCAUGUGCAGAUCCUUCUUCCUUUCCCUAUACUGCUCCACCAAUUUCUGCACCAGGUGAAUCGCCUCCGUCGUCGAGCACCCUGGCAUAAAUCCAAACUGGUUCUCCGAGAUAGACACUAUCCUUCUCAAUCUCAACUCGACCACUCUCUCCCAAAUCUUCAUAGUGUGGCUCAAUAACUUAAUACCUCUAUAGUUAUUGCAGCUCUGAAUGUCACCCUUGUUCUUAUAAAGAGGGAUCAUUGUACUCCAUCUCCAAGCCUCGAACAUUUUUGCUGACUUGAGAAUAUCGUUAAACAAUUCAGUCAACCACCUUAAGCCCGCUUUGUCAGAAAACUUCUAAAAGUUCACAGGAAUCUCAUCUGGCCCUGUCGCCCUACCCCUACGCCUCCUGCGAACAGCUUCUUUAACCUCUUCUACCUUAAAAUGUCUACAAUAACUGAAAUCACGACAGUCCUCUGAGUGCUCCAGCUCCCCUAACACAAUAUCUCUAUUAAAAAUCGCUAAUUAAGGCUUUAACAUUAGACAAUUUAUCAAACACAUGAGAAUCAUAAACUUGGACAUGAGAAUAUCUUAAACAUGGGAGCAUAACAUGAUUACAUAACUAAAAUCAUGAAUUAGGAAAAUUCACAUGUAAUUUGCUUGGACAUGGGUGUUUCAUCAAAACAUGCAAAGUUCAUAGCUUGAACGUAAGAAUGAAUUAAACAUAAGGGAACAAUAGAGUUUCAUGGCAAAAUUCAUAACUUGGGGAUUCAUCUUAAAAUUGAUUGGACAUGAUAUGGGAAUUUCGUCAAACAUGAAUUUAAAACAUGGAAAUAUUGCUAGACAUCAUGAAUUUAGGAUCUAUCAUGGAAUUUACUUGAAUAAAACAUGAAAAACUCAAAUUCAUAGCAUGAGAAAUUUAAAAUCUUGUAUGGAAUCAUGGGUAAAUUUCAUCCAUGGUCACUUAACUUUGUAUCUAUUACCCAAAAGUCACUUUUCUUUUAUUCAUUUCAUCCAUGGUCACUUAACUUUGUAUUUAUUACGCAAAAGUUAUUUUUCAUUCAUGGUCAUUAAACUUUACUUCGACUAUCACAAAAGUCAUUAUGACCGAAUUUUACAAUAAUUCCAUCAGAAAAAUAAUGUGACAACCUUAAUUAGUUCUUAAUUUUAAGUGAAUAUAUAAUGUAUUGCUCAUAUCUUGACUUUUUUAUAUGUGCACAAUCCAAUUUUCCUUAUGGAUUGUUUAAUGAAAGAAUAACAAUUUCUUAAUAGAUUAGAUUACUUAAUGAAGACGAUUUACAUAAAAAAAUUUGGUUGAUAUUCUUAGAAAUAUUUCAUAAUAUUGCAUUCAUCUGCCAAAAAGGUGCAUCGAAAAAGAGUGAUAAACAAGAUAAAUUCUUUAAAACACAUAAAAUAGAAAUACAUGUAUGAUAUUAUUUUUUUUAAAAAAAUUAUUUUAAUUCUUUGAAGAUAAAUCAACACACUAAAGAUAGUUUUAAAAUAAAAUCUUUUUAAUUGUGUCAUUGAACAAGUAUUGACAAAAUUUGUACAAAUAAUGUUAUAUUAACGUACAAUUUUAUUAAUAAAAGUUACAAAAUAUAAGUACUUUAAUAGAUAAAGAAAUUAUAGGAUAUCUAAUUUUUAUAUUUAUCAAUUAAAUUAAUUAAACAAUAUGUAAUUUAUCAGAAAUUGAAUAUUAUAAUAAAAACUUUUAAGAGAAUUAAUCGAUUAGUCAAACAAUUAAAAAUACAAAGACAAAUUCAAUAAAUAGACUAGUUUAUCAUAUUAUCAAAGACUCAAAUGGCAAGAAAAGAAUAUAUGAAAAAAAUAAUUUUAUCAACUACAUGUCACAAUUUUAGAGGGAGAAAAGUAAUUUUAUCAACUACAUGUCAUAAUGUUAGUGGAAAAAAUAAUUUACCAACACAUGUCUCAACUUUAGAGAAUGUUAAGAAUAUAUAAGUAUAAUUUUAUUUCAUAAAAAUAUCAACCAUUUUUUUUUUAUGAAAAUAAUCUUCAUUAGGUAAUCUAAUCUAUUAAAAAAUUGAUAUUCUUUCAUUAAAUAAUCCAUAAGAAAAAUUGGGUUGUAUAUAUAAAAAGGGUCAAGAUAUGAGUAAUAUAUUAUAUAUUCAAUUAAAUUAAAAUUAAGAACUAAUUAAGGUUGCCACAUCAUUUUUUCGAUGGAAUUAUUGUAAAAUCCGGUCAUAGUGACUUUUGUGACAGUCGGAGUAAAGUUAAAUGACCAUGGAUGAAAUGAAUGAAUGAAAACUGACUUUUGGGUAAUAGAUACAAAGUUAAGUGACCAUUGAUGAAAUUUACUCAUGGAAUCAUACAUGGGCUGAAUUGAAUUAAAAAUAUCAUGGAAACAUGAAAUUCAGUCUUUCUUGAACAUACAAAAUACCAUAGUAAUGGAAAAUUCAUUCUUUAAUUAAAAGAAAAAGGAUUUUUGGGCUCUAUGGAUGAAAGAGGACCCAUGAAUGAAUUCCCACAUACCUUAAAGCUUUAAUCUUGAAGGAGAAACACAAUCUUGAAAGCAUUUUUGAAUUAGAAAACUAGAGUUCUUGCUUUUCUUGAGGAAAGUUUGAUGAAGUUCUUGGCGUUCUUGAGGAGGCUAGGAUUUUUUCUUUGAGAGAAAAGAUGAAUAAUUAAGUGUAUAUUGCUUUUGGGGGCUGAAAUUAAGUGUUAUGGGCAGGUUUGGGUGAGGGAAAGUGACCAAAGUGCCACUAGACUCUUUAAAAAUUGAAUUAGCGUGUGACACAGUCCUGUAACGCGCUGGCCGACGCGUCGCGUCGCUAUCGCGUUGGCUUACUGCCUCACGCGAAAAAUAUGAUAACUUUUCGCUCGGGUAUUAAAUUUUGACGAAAUUGAUAUCGUUGCAAAGCUAAUUCAAUUAUCUAUAAUUUGGUAAAUCUUGAGCUGCAAAAUUUUAUGUAUAUGAAAAGUUAUACACAUUUAAAGUAGACCCUAGUAGAAUCAAAUGCCAAACUUUGGACGAAUCAAAGGCUUUCUGCAAAAUUUUAUGUAUAUGAAAAGUUAUACACAUUUAAAGUAGGCCCUAGUAGAAUCAAAUGCCAAACUUUGGACGAAUCAAAGGCUUUAAGCUCAACUUUGUUCUAAGUAAUUCUUAUGAACAUUUUUCACCUAAAAAGCAAAUCAAACAUGAGGAUAAAGAUCAUGAAACUCAUAUUUGCAUAGGAAUUAUUUAGAUCAUAGCUUAUACAUGUAGAAAUGACGGUUCAAAGACUAGCUCGAAAAUGCGGGGUAUUACAGUAUCAUCUGCUAUAGGAGAACUUUAAAAGCUUACUUUGUAACACAAGUGUUGAAUUUCAUGCCAAAGAAAAUGAAAUAGAGUAUGCCUUACAUACGUUGCUUUACAACUUCGAUAUUAACCCAAAUUAGCGUCCUGCAUUUUAGAAUACUUAUCUACAAUGAAGUAUAUGGUAAAACUAGUGUUAGUAGCUAACAAAUACAUUUGGGCUACUCAACUUCACCAAAAUAGUAGCCGGCAGUAAGCCUAUAAAUUAUCAAAUCAAGGGUGUUAUUCUAAUCCUUUUUCUCCUCCAAUUACAUCCACAUACCAUACAUAUUCUUAUAAGAUUCCCUAAAACAACUUUAGCUUCGUUACAAUAUCAAAAUAAUGUAUAAAGUAGAACAAACAGUAAACAUAUUCAACAUCUAGUUUGGUGGCGUACCACUACACCCUUCCUUCUAUAUGUCAAUACAAACUAUUCAUGCUAUUCCCCAACGUCAAUCCGGCAAUCCCCAGCAUAUACACAUAAUACAGUCCACAAAACAAGCUCAAGUUUCGUUUGUUACAACAACUAAAUAUUGAACUCGUCAUCCCUUAAGUUCUUAAUGAUAACACGUCCAUAAGUCUUCACCCAAACUCAUACAUAAGGAGGACAAAAAAAUGGAGCAGUCACUUUACCUCAAUUCCUGUAAUUUAUCCUUUUAGCUUGAACUUUUAAGAACUUGAACUUUUCGUCAGACUUAAAAGAAAUUGAUUAUCGAGUAAAUGAACCUAUUUGGGUAAACUCUUUUAAUUCUUAGCUACAAAUUACUGAAUAAAGGAACUUGACUUUUUAAUUUGUGAAUAUUUUCUCUUCUCGAAUAUUGGCAUGUUUGUUCUUCCUUUUUUUUUCCUUUUAAUAUCCAUUAUCUUACAAUUAAUGUUGACUUAAUUUAUUAUGUAUAUUUGAGUAAAUUAUAGAAAGUGGGUAUUAUUAUACAUAUCCUACUAAUGAUUAUGAUGCUAAUAAUGAUUUAAAGUUUUGAUUUUUGAAUUAUGUAGAAAUGAAUAUAGAAAAUUAGGUUUUUUCUCUGUGUAAUGUCUACUAAAUUGAUCUAUAGUAAAUAGUGGCCUUUUGUAUGUAUAUUGUUUCAUUCUCUAGAUUUUAUGUUCGUUUUCUUCAAUCCAGAAGGUACAAAGUCCCUUGCUCUAUUACUCUUUGUUGGACUUUAAUUUAAUUGGUCUUCAUUCUGUUGUUUAAUUGAUAUACAAUAGAAAGUAGUAAAGCAAGAAGGUACAAAGUCCCUUGCUCUAUUACUCUCUGUUGGACUUUAGUUUAAUUGGUCUUCAUUCUGUUGUUUAAUUGAUAUACAAUAGAAAGUAGUAAAGCAAGAGACUUUGUACCUUUUGGAUCGACGAAAAUGAACAAACACUUAUAGAUUGAAAUAAUAUGUAUACAAAAUGUCAAUCAAUUUAGCAGACAUUACUCGAGAAAGAACCUAAUUUUUUAUAUUCUAUUUUACAUAUUCAAAAAUCAAAACCUCAAACCAUUACUAGCAUCAUAAGUCAUUACUAGGAUACACAAAAUUAUACUCAAUCCCACAAUACCUCGAGUAUACGUAAUAAACUGAGGCAACAAUAGUCAUAAGACAAUAGAAAUAAAAAAAAAUUAAAAAAAAAACAUACCAAAAUUGGAGAAGAGACAAAUAUUCACAAAUUGAAGAGUCAAACUUCUUUAUUCGGUAAAAUGUAGGUGGGAACAAAAGGAUUUAAUUCAUAUAAAGAGUGAAGUUUCUUUACUCGAUAAUUGAUUUCGACCUAUUACCACUUUUUCCCUCACCUAUUUUUGAUAGUGUGGACCAGAUUGAUGAAAGAAUCUUAUUUGAAUGCUCAAUCACUCAUAUAUAACAUUUAGAUAUUGUCGCAGUUAACUGCGACAAUAUCUAGUUUUAUCUCUAGAAGUUGGCAAAAAGAUUGCAAUUUGCAAUUAAAUUUUUUUUAGAGUAGAUAGUCGAACUUACCGAGGAUGGUGCGCGAGGGUGGCAGUGGUGCACGAUAGCAGUGGUGCGCGAGGGUGUCGGGUUUGAGAGUGAUGCGGAGAAGUGAGAAAUUUAUUUGGGAUAUGGAGAUAUGAGGAUGAUUGUAGUGCGCCUGGCGGUGGAGAAGUGAGAGGUGCGGCGGUACUGGUGGUGUUGGAUUUGCGAGUGAAGAGAAGUGAGAGUUUAAUUUGGGAAUAUAGGGUGUAGAAGUUUAUUUUGAAAAUCAAGAGGUUUUGUAUAUAUAUAUAUAUAUUAAAAACCAGAUCUCACAUGGUCAGUUUUCAUUACAAAAAUUCUAAAAAUAAAUAAUUAUUAAGGAAAAGACUUAAAUAUGUCACUGGACUAUCAGAAAUAACUCAUUUAUAUCAUUCGUUAAAAAUUGGGCUCAUUCAUGUCAUCGCCAUAACAAAAUUGGUCCAUCCAUGCCAUUACUUUUAACAGCCGGUUUUUAGAAAACAGCUUUGCCACGUGGCAGUAUAUUAGAGGUCCACGCCAUUUUUAAAAAAAAUUAAUUUUUUAAAUUUUUUAAAAUAUUUAUAAUUUUUUUUAUUUAAUUUUUUUAAAAAUGGUGUUGGUUACGAAGUUUAUAAAUUACAUAUUUCUAUGUUUUUAUUUAUCAAAUAAUGAAUAAUAAAUUUUGUAUAUAACUAAUGUUAAGGUUUUUUCUGGAUUCUUAUGUUUAAAAAUAAUUAUAUAUAUAUAUUUGACCACUCUUCUAGGUAUUUAUUUAUACAUGAACCCAAAAUAUUCAAACCUGAAAUUCUAGUUCAUCAUAACCAUUACUAGUCCUUAUAUGUAAUGAUAAUAAAAGACGAAAUCGUAUUCUUUUCAUAUUUUGCCAAAUGAAAAAGGUGAUCAUAUUAAAAUGAUCAAUUCAAAAACCUUAAAUGGUUAAUCUUUCUUAACACUUCGAAAAGUACAUGAUAGAGAAAGAAAAAGAAUGCAAAAAUGUGAACAAUUUCUUCUGUUGGUGCAUUCUCUUUUCCUUACUUUUCUCUCCCUCUUUGUGUGUAUGCAUGCAAAAUGUAUGUAGUAAAGUAUUGUGUGUGGAUGUGUAUGUUAUCAUUUUUUUUUUAUAAUCAUUUAUAUGCAUGCAUGCAUGGAUCAUAUAUUAUAUCAAUCUCACUUCAAAUUUAAUCAUAACAAAUAUUUGAAUACUCUAGUAUUACAACAACAAAUGUAAAAUAAGAGCAACUCCACUUCAUAAUAUUGGAAUUGAAUUUUGCAUAAUCGCGAUAUUAUAUUAUUCAAAGAAAGGUAAAGGGUUACCUUUUGAAAAAAUAGUUGCCAACAAAAGAAAGAAGAAGCUGUGAACUCGAAACCACGAACCAAACCUCAAACUCCAACUUGUUGUCUACCCGUUUAUGUUAUUUGCUUUUUGUUUCUGUCAAAUGUUACUCCUUUUUCUUCUUAACUCUUCUCUUUUCUUGUUUUUCUCUCCCAGUCUGUUUUUUUUUCAAGGUUCCUCUCCCUUUCUUUCUGUUUUUGUCCUUUUUAUUUCCCUAAUCCUCCCUAUUCGUUUCCUUAUCUUUGUGUUUUUCUAUGUCCCCCUUUGUGUCUGUGUGGGUGUACUAUAUAAUGUAUAAGGUUGGAAAGUUGAGGAGGUUGAAGAAAAGGUGAGGGUGAUUGGGGUAGUUUUCUUUAGGAUAAGAUUUUUUUAAUAAAUAUAUAAUGUAUAAGGUUGGGAAGUUGAGGGAUUUUUUUAAUUUUUUUUUAAAAAUAUUUAUAAAAAAAAUAUUUAAAAUAAUUUUUUUUAUAAUUUUUUUUAAAUUAGUUUUUUUAAAAAAAAUUAAAAAAAUGAUGUGAGACUCUAAUAUGCUGCCACGUGGCAAAGUUGUUUUCUAAAAACUGGUUGUUAAAAGUAAUGGCAUGGAUGAACCAGUUUUGUAACGGAGAUGGCAUGAAUGAGCCCAACUUUUAACGGAUGACAUAAAUGAGUCAUUUCUGAUAGUUCAGUGGCAUAUUUGAUCCUUUUCUCUAAUUAUUAUAACAGAUCAUAUGUGGUUGAUUUAAAAAAAAUAUAUUUUAAAAAUAAAAAAUAAUAAAAAUCAAUAAAUUAUCUGUUAUUACCUCAAUAGUAUAAUAUCAAUAUAUUCAAGAUAAAUAUAUUUCAAGACAGAUCAGUAAUAUAUAGAAUUUAAUUGGUUCAUUAUUAUUCCACAACUAUAUUAAUAUUACUUGAUCGAUUAACUUUUAAUACGUAAUAUAUAUAUUAGCUAUGUACACGAGUAUAUGUGGCCUCGUAAUGCAACGUGUAACAUAUUCUUUGGUUCAUUACAUUACUUGACGAGUAUAUGUAGUAUUAUGUGUUGAUCAUAUUACAUAUCAUCGUAUUCUAUAUUCGAAUGAAUUAGAUGCGUUUCUUUGUCUUCUGUGUAUAUCACUGCACAAAACAUAAUACAUUCAAGGUUGUCGAACCAUUAAUAGAAUCAAGUGCUCUCAUUUAUAUUACCGAAUGGUUCACAAGCGCACACACACACACACACACACAUACACACACACACACACACACACACACAUAUAUAUAUAUAUAUUAAUAAUAUCAACGCAUUUCAUACUUCGAUUCACUAUCGAUUAAUUUACGAUUGAACUACGUUACUGAUGCAAGUUCGAAAAGUAUCAACUUGACAUCAAAAGCUUGGAGUGUUUCAAGAGAGUAUGAAAGCCAAAAAUCAACACCAGAAGAUUAACAUUAUACUUUAGGGUCUUUUUUGGUCAUAGUAUGAUGCACAUUUAAUCAAGGAUAUUUAUAUCUUUUCAUAUCUUAGCUUACCCUAGAAGUAUAAAUAGAAUAAGAUGCAAGAUUAUUUCUUUAGACUACAUUUUUAGAUUGAACACUCUUUGCUGAGUUUGUGGGUUUACUCCCUUGUCUCUACAUUGGAUUUCUCUUGAAUAUCUUUUGGUAAGGUUAUACAUGUAUUGAUUUCAAUUCUCUUAUUCCUUGAAUUAAUCAUGUAAUUGUUUGUUCAAAUUAGAUAGUCACAAAUUAACAUUUAUUCAUCUCUAGUUUACUUUAUUUGUGGGAUUAUUAUUUCUUUCUUAUCUAUCUCUUCUUAAUUUCUUGAUUAUCUCUUGAAUCUAUAUAGCUUGUAUUUUAUUUUACAUUAAUUGAUAUCAGAGUCAGGCUAAAAAAUUGUUCCUACAAUUCUUAAUUUUUGGCUUACAUUUUUUUUAAAAAUUCAAAAAAAAAAAAUUGAUUUGGAUGUGGUUGAUAUUGUUCCUUGAACUAUAUAUUGUUGUUUCAUAGUUGAAAAUCAAAAAAGGCAUGGCUUGUAAAAAAAAUUAAAAACCAUUGUUGAGAUUUGAAGCUUUGAAGAAGCUUGAAAAUGAGUUUUGUUGAUUUAGUGUUUGUUUGAAGUAAUUGUUGAUUGAAAGUUGUUGAUAGAGUUGUGGGAAAGUUGUAUCUCAAAUUUGAACUUAUUUAAUAGAGUAUUGAGGGAGAUUGAUUAAAAAAAAUUGAAUUUCUUCGAGAAGAAGAUGAAUUUGAAAAUUUCAAAAAUGACCAAAUCUUUUCUCAUUUAAUAUAUAGUCUUCCAACUUGUUUUCUCUUCUUUUCUUGUUAACCAGGGAAUCGUGCUGCGCUUCUUGCGGUCAUGAAAAAUGUAUUAAUAAUUGAUUUUAUAGAUAAUUAUUUUUUAUUAUAACAUAUUUGUGAAAUUAUAAAAAUUUUAGUAUCAUAUACGACAUAUAUUGUUAUCUAAAUUUUCAUUCGAAUUAUAUUUGAUUAACCUUUUUAGAAUAUUUACGUAUAAAAAGAUUAACCUCAUUAACCUUAUUUCGUAAAUGAGGUUAUUGCAAUUUCAAAAAGCGAUAUAUGAAAAGCUUUUAAGAAAAAGAAGUAAUAUAAAAUAUGUAACGAAAGAACAUAAAACACUUGAUAUACAAGAAAAGUUUUGUUCUAAAGACAAAUUUAAAUGCUCAUCAAAUAAAAAGUUUAUGCUUAAUAGAUUUAUCUAAGAUAAUAUCUUUGGAAAUGACCUCAUUAUAUGAUAGGAAGAACAACUUUAACUCUUCAUUCUCUUCAUUUUCAAUAAUCCCAUUCCCAGAAAUCAACUUACUAUUAAAAUAUGUAAAUUGUUAUCUUAGGUUGUAUAUUUGAAAAUUAUCUCAUGAUAUGAUAGGAAGAGCAACUUCAACUCGUCAUUUUUAAUAUCAUAUUUUCAAAAACCAACUGUUGAGAAAAUGCUAAAAUCAACAAAUAGUCAUAUGAGAAGAGUUAAGAAAAGCAAAUCACAAUCUACGGAUUUUUGUUGCAAAGUACCGGUGGGAAAAAAAAAUUAACAGUACUAACACAAAAUUAAAAAAUACUCACUCCAUGUAAACAAAUGUAGUCGUUGUAUCAUAGAACUAUUGCUUCUUAAUACUAAAACUAUACUUUUUAUUUAUUAUUUUUCUUAAUGCCGUGAGUCUUGAAUUAUUUUGGGACAAGAGCAGUGGUGGACUCAGUAUUUAAAGAUUGUGGGUGCUUGCUACAGAAAAAAAAUAAAAAUCACUUCAAUCAGGUUCGAACCUGAGGCACAGCUACCAAUAGAAAGCAUUAAGAUCAGCCUAAAUGUCAAUGCAUUCAACUUUCUAUUUCAAUGGGUGCUUUGAUAUAAUUUAUACCUAUUUUUAUAAUUUUUUUAUGUAGUUAUGCCUGUUUUGCAGAAAUUUUGACUUUUGAAGAGAGUCGCCACUUAAUUUUGAAAAGGAAUUAAGAAACCUUUAUAAAAGUUACUUCAAACGAUUCAAAACAGGAAAAUCGUUUUAAGUUAGAGAUUCUAGAUAAGCGGUUCCUAUUAACGUUUUAGGAAGGUGUUAGGCACCUAAAACGUCCGCUAACUUGCGAUUAUCCGGACUGUUUGAAAAUCGUCUUUUGAUUAACUUCGAAAAGAUUAAUUUAUUGAAAUAGUGAUUUGAUUUUUUUCAGAAAAAAAAGACUUGUUUAAAAUAGAUUUAGGCGACUUAGUAGGGAUUUUAACUAAGUAUAAACAAAACUAAUAAACAAAUAAACACAUAAAAGGGGAAGGGAGGAGAAAGUAAAGGAUUUAGGCCAUUCGGCUCAAAUNNNNNNNNNNNNNNNNNNNNNNNNNNNNNNNNNNNNNNNNNNNNNNNNNNNNNNNNNNNNNNNNNNNNNNNNNNNNNNNNNNNNNNNNNNNNNNNNNNNNNNNNNNNNNNNNNNNNNNNNNNNNNNNNNNNNNNNNNNNNNNNNNNNNNNNNNNNNNNNNNNNNNNNNNNNNNNNNNNNNNNNNNNNNNNNNNNNNNNNNNNNNNNNNNNNNNNNNNNNNNNNNNGGAGGAGAGGAGUCCAUUUGGACUCGAGAUAUUUUUUUGCAUGCAAAGAAAAGAUAAAGAAAUUAAUAUAUGUUCAAGGCAUAAAAGUGACAUAUUUCAAAGUAAAAGAAACUAUCAAGAACCAAUUUUUGAAUGACAAGAAUAAGCACACUUGCACAAGAAUGAGAGUCAACAAAUAAAAAAUGCAAAGCAAAAGUUUCACAAUCAUACUAUGCAUGAGUCAAAAAUAUCCAAAUAAUUUUAUUUAGCCGCAAAAGUUUGAACUUUCUUAUCAUUUUGAAAAGACAACAUGCGAACAAAAAGGAAUAAACAUCUUGGAUGAAAAAUAAAGCUAGCACUUCAUAUCUUAUAUGAGGGUUUUGAAAUCCAUUAAAAUAAUUAGAAAGCAAAUGAAAAAUUCUUGACUUAACUACUUACUAUUUUUAUCAAGGCGCAACAACUAAUAAUAACUAUUCUUCCAAAAUAAAAUAAACAACUUUACAUGCUAUUAAAAACAUAUCUACCAACAAUAAGUUUAAACAAGACAUGGGUAUUGUUUUUCAAGUAAAGAUCUAAACUUUGUCGAAAAUAAUCAAAGAAUAAAGUAAAAAAAGAGAAACAAUCAAUAUUAACUUUACAUGCUAAAAAUAAAUAUAUCUACCAACAAUAAGUUUAAACAAGACAUGAGUAUCAUUUUUCAAGUAAAGAUCUAAACUUUAUUCAAAUAAUCAAAGAAUAAGGUGAAAAGNNNNNNNNNNNNNNNNNNNNNNNNNNNNNNNNNNNNNNNNNNNNNNNNNNNNNNNNNNNNNNNNNNNNNNNNNNNNNNNNNNNNNNNNNNNNNNNNNNNNNNNNNNNNNNNNNNNNNNNNNNNNNNNNNNNNNNNNNNNNNNNNNNNNNNNNNNNNNNNNNNNNNNNNNNNNNNNNNNNNNNNNNNNNNNNNNNNNNNNNNNNNNNNNNNNNNNNNNNNNNNNNNNNNNNNNNNNNNNNNNNNNNNNNNNNNNNNNNNNNNNNNNNNNNNNNNNNNNNNNNNNNNNNNNNNNNNNNNNNNNNNNNNNNNNNNNNNNNNNNNNNNNNNNNNNNNNNNNNNNNNNNNNNNNNNNNNNNNNNNNNNNNNNNNNNNNNNNNNNNNNNNNNNNNNNNNNNNNNNNNNNNNNNNNNNNNNNNNNNNNNNNNNNNNNNNNNNNNNNNNNNNNNNNNNNNNNNNNNNNNNNNNNNNNNNNNNNNNNNNNNNNNNNNNNNNNNNNNNNNNNNNNNNNNNNNNNNNNNNNNNNNNNNNNNNNNNNNNNNNNNNNNNNNNNNNNNNNNNNNNNNNNNNNNNNNNNNNNNNNNNNNNNNNNNNNNNNNNNNNNNNNNNNNNNNNNNNNNNNNNNNNNNNNNNNNNNNNNNNNNNNNNNNNNNNNNNNNNNNNNNNNNNNNNNNNNNNNNNNNNNNNNNNNNNNNNNNNNNNNNNNNNNNNNNNNNNNNNNNNNNNNNNNNNNNNNNNNNNNNNNNNNNNNNNNNNNNNNNNNNNNNNNNNNNNNNNNNNNNNNNNNNNNNNNNNNNNNNNNNNNNNNNNNNNNNNNNNNNNNNNNNNNNNNNNNNNNNNNNNNNNNNNNNNNNNNNNNNNNNNNNNNNNNNNNNNNNNNNNNNNNNNNNNNNNNNNNNNNNNNNNNNNNNNNNNNNNNNNNNNNNNNNNNNNNNNNNNNNNNNNNNNNNNNNNNNNNNNNNNNNNNNNNNNNNNNNNNNNNNNNNNNNNNNNNNNNNNNNNNNNNNNNNNNNNNNNNNNNNNGAUUGGCUAAAUUAAAUUAAAAUUUGAUACGAAUUAAUACCUUUUUUUUUAUCCCGAGCUUCUUGAUUUAAUAAAAUGAAUGCAUAUUUAUCCAAAUAAAUUAUUUUUGAGAAUAAAUUAUAUUUAAAUUAAGAUUUUAAUCAUUUGAAUUUAUUUUCAAGAUAAGUCUUAAUUAAAUCCGAUAUUUUGUAAAAUAAAUAUUUAAGUAACAAAUUAUAUAAUCUCGUAUAACUGAACACGAUAGUAUAUAAUCGCUACUUAAAAUGACAAAAUCACGUACGGAAAAUAUUUUAAGUUUUUUUUUUUAUUUGGAUGAAAUAAUUUUGAUUUAUUAAAAACUGAAGAAACUCAGGAUUAAAUUUAGUCGUGGAGGGCAAAAAUUAGGUGUCAACAAUGCCUAUUCCAUAUCGCGAAGCACCCCAAAAAUAUGCAUAGGUCCGCCCCUGGACAGGAGUAUAAUUACUGAUGCUGAAAGUCAACUGUACCGAACCAAUUCAAGAAGCUAAAAUCAAUAGUUGUACAUAAAAUAUCCAGCUAAAAAUUGAAGGAUUCUGCACUUGAGGAAAGCAUGUCAGAUUGUUACAUUUGACAUCCUAAGUCCAUGGUAGAAAAAUCAAAAGAAACAAGCUGUCCAAACACACACUUUUAUUUCCACUUUAUAAAACCUGACUUAUACAAUGUCCUUUACUUUACCUUUACAAGUACAAUGAUAUCAAUAUAUUUCAAUAUAUUUUUGAUUUAUACCUUUGAAACAUUAUAAGAUUUUGAAAAGACCAAAUUAGUUGCAUGAAGCUAAGCUUUGCGUUAAGUCUCUUCUUAUCUUCUUCAUCUAACAUGACAACCUAUAUGUAGAAAUUACAAUAAAUGAGAAAACAUAAAGCCAACAAUAUUUGGAAAUUAAUAGUCAAAUAUACCUGAAUUCCCCCUUCGCACAAGGCAAGGGCAAUGUUGUUAGCAACUUUGGAAUAUAAGCGACCUCGAAGGAGAACUUGGAAAGUUCCUUUAGAAUAGAGUUGAGGACCACAUCAACAGUUAGGCUACUUCCAUCUACCACCUUCACUUUCAGGUGAGGGUACCUCCUUAAGAAAAUUUCACCAUUCCUAUUCAAUUGCUCUUCCUGAAAACAUACAUUUGAAAUAAAUCACAACUAUGAGUUAACCUUCAACACUAAUACAGGGUGAUGAGCGAAUUCUUUUUAGAUCUUUUCGUCCACAAUCCUAUGAUUACUUACGAACCAUUCUGCGAUAAGUUUGCACGAUAUUAUUAGUUAAGAAUAGGUCAUGCAUUUUUCUUAUAGAUAAAAAGUUGUCUUUUGAGUUUUAACACAAAGGAAAAUGAUUUUGUUUUAAUUAGCAGUGACUUUUGAGGUGAAUAUAAAUGAAAAUUAAAUAGUUAAGUAAAUGCUGAAAUUUUAAUAAGUAAAUGGAAUAUACAACUCGAUAAAAAAUGAUAAAUAGAAAUUAAUUACUAUUAAUUAUUUUAAUAUAUCAAGUAAAAAGAUAAAAAAUAGAAAAAAUAUAAAAAAUUUGAGAAAAAAGAAAAAUAGGAAUGGAGGCCUUAAAAGUAUGCUACAUUAGCAUACUUCUAAGUCUCCUUUAUAGAUUGAUUGAUUCUAGCUAGUUUAAUUUGAGUAUUACUUCCUACUUAAUGUUAAAUUAAUUUUUGUUCGUGAGUUUUGUUUGUGUCAAUAUAUUUUAUGUUUUUUUUUUUUUUUUUAAUUUUGUUGUAUAUUUAUUUAUUCUGUGUCCUUUAAUUUUUAAUUGUCCUUUCUUGAUUUACAUAAACUCUACUCCGAAUCGAUACUUGAAUGCUUACUUUUAGUUGAUUGAGUUAUUGGUUCUUAAAGAGAUUUGAGAAAAUUUUCUUGAGAGGAAAAAGACAAGAGUUUGUGAUAUUAAUUGAGUGAGGUCUAAAAAUCUUGAUCUUGAGCGUACACACGAGUGUUGAGUGAUACAUAUGAGAGAGAGAAUAUAUGAGGUACUUUGACUUUGUUUCUACCUUCUUUUGAUUGUAAGUAUGUCUUUCAUAGCUUCGGGUGAUCCUUGUGAUGAUGAUUUUGAAGACUAUGAUUGUGAGAAUGAUGAAAAUUAUUAUGAUGAAGAUUGUGGAGAAAAUGAAGAUGGUGGAUCUUAUCUUGAAGAAUGUGAGUAUGGUGAUUCUUAUGCUUUCAACAAUAACUUUAAAAAUGAUGAUGCUUCAAGGUAUGAAUUUUUCACAUACUCUUCUUGUGAUGCAUCUAAUAGUGAAGAAAGUGACUAUGGGCUUGAUGAUGAUAAUGAGAAAACUUUUGGUGAAUAUUCUUGUUCAUCUUCUUACUAUGAUUCUAAUUCUAAACAUGAGAAUGGUUAUAGUUCUUAUGUUUGUUUUAUUGGAGAAGGAGGUGGUAGAUCUUUCACAAAAAAAUUGAGGUAAAAUGUGAGUAGAUGUGCUACUUAUGGUAGAAAUAUUUCCAUAGACCUAGUGAUGAUAUGAAUGCUUUGAUAAAUGAAGAUCAUUUUAUUGAACAACAUGAGUGUGAUGAAGCAUGCAUUAACCAAUUUUUAAGAGAAAUAAAGAACAUGUUUCAUAUUUAUGACAAAAUUGAAAGACUUUGUUGUGUUAUGAUUAUACAUAAGAAGAGAUUCAUAAAUAUUGCAAGUUCAAACAUGAUUGAGAACUCAAAGUUGAAGAAUAGAAAACAUCCCCAACCAUAUGGAUUGCCAUGGCCAAAUGGGAAAGGAGCUUUAGAGAUCACAAAAUAAGUUUUAGUGAAGUUCCAACUUAACAAGUUUCAUGAUGAAGUACUGCGUGAUGUUAUUCCAAUGAAAACUUGUCAUUUGUUACUUGGAACGUCUAGGACAAUUAACAAAGAAACUACUUUUAAUAAAAAGACUAACAAAUGUUCUGUUAACCUAAAAGUUCAAAUAUUAUAUGCUAUAUUAGUCCUUUAAUUUAUUUGAUGUUGUUGAAAAAGUUCUAGAGAGAGAAAGACUAGCCUUUCACUAAACUUCCUCUCAAAACAUAGCAAAUGUUAAUGGAAAACCCAUGUGUACCCACCGACCCACCCGAUGACCCAACUAAUCAAAUGGAUAUUGAAUCACAAAAUAAACCCUCCUACAAAGAGAUUCUGAGAAAUGAAAUUAGUACCCCAAUCCCUAACCACUUUCUCAAAUCCAUUGGUAAUCUAAGCAAAGCUUACUAUGGGGACAACGGAGAUGUCAUCCAACUCACCUCCCAAGAGAAACUCUGAUUGUACACUCCUUAGAGACACUCUGUGAUCAUCAAGGCGGUGGGUCGGUAAUUCAACCAUCAAUAUUUUAAAAUAAAGACCUCAGAUCUAUGGAAACUGAAAGAGAAAUUUACUCUAAUCGAUCUUGGUCGCGAUUACUACAUAGUAAAAUUGAAUGAUGAAGCUUCUCAGAGAAGGAUUACAUAGGAAGACCCAUGGUUCGUUGUUGGGUCAUAUAUAUCAAUACCCAUCUGGGAUCAAAUUUCCUCCCAAAUGAAUCCCAGAUCGAAUUAACAACAAUAUUGUUGAGAUUACCCUAACUCCCUAUAGAGUUCUAUGAUGCCCUAAUUUUGGAAAAAGUGGGGAAAAAGAUUGGCAGGCUUUUAAAGGUGGAUGCAUGUACCUCCUUUAUCCUAAGGGGAAGGUAUGUAAGGAUAUGCGUCCAAGUCCCUCUAAACACCCUUUUGAAGACCUCGAUAACUGUCGAAAAUCACUACAACUAAUAAUCUAAGAAGGAUAUGGAUUUUUGUGCAAAAACUGUGAACGAUUAGGGCACACCACUUUAUGCCUAUUCACAAACACUCCGGUGACGAAGGAAACUGGCAAAACAUCAAUCUCAAAACACCCAAAACAAGACUGGGAAGGGAGAAUAGUGGAGUUUGCAAGGAAAAGAAAAAAAACCUAAAGAACAAACUAAUGGUAAGCAAGGUGCAAUUCUAUCUCCCCAAAACGUUAAGGUGAAGCUGUUCGAUGCAAAAUUAGGUAAGUUCCUUAAAACUUGCGAUUUUUAAUUCACUACACCUCCAUCAAACCCUAAUAGAGGUCAAAGGCUGGGAAAAUUUCCCAAACCCAUCCUCCCAAUGGGGUGGGUCAAAAAAAUUGGGCCAAUACUGAGGCCUCAUCCAGCAAGACCAAACCCGAGGAAAAUCUGGGCCAACAAUAAGGCCCAAAAAUAACCUCAAGAAAAGACCCAUGGCUUCUAGGCCUGAUCAGACUGACCCAUAGGGCCCAAAGUAGAUGGACGUAAAAACAAAUGAGAGUCUGUCCACAAAUGGACAAGACUCCAUCUUUGACUUUAAUAAAAAGAUUAAAAAAUAAUAAUAACCAUGUCAGUCAAAAUGGGAAUACCACUCUUGCAGAAGAGGUGGAUAUGGCCCAUUGCCAUGUCACCCCCAUUUUUCUCUCAAUUACUCAACCAUUUCACUCUACUCCAGAAACUUUGCCUGCUCACAUCAACCACAGUGUCCUUAUUGUCAUUUCCCAAAGCCAGGCAUUAUUAACAACAAUGAUGGCAAUGAUGAGAAAAAUCCAAAGGUCCUGGACCUCACUGUCUUUUUUGAUAAUCCAACUCCACAACCUCACUCAAAUAGGCCAAACCACUACACUACAACCCCACCAUCUAAAUCCUUGGUCGAAAAUGGAGAAUCCACCUCCCAAUACACUAGUGUUCUUAAUGGAACCACUGAGUCCAAAUCACCAUCCAAUCUUAUGGCUGGAAAUAUAUCUAUCAAAAAUAUCAAUCCCACUAAGACUAACGAUGGAAGGGAAAUAACUCACCAUCCACAUUCAAGACCCCCAAUAUCUAGAUCAUCUAGUCAUAGAGGGCUUCAACCAGGGUCUAACAAAUUAUUAGCCAACAGUGUAGACAAUCACAAUGAUGAAAAUCAUUGGGUCCCAUACCAUGGGAAGUCUAUCACUCGAAAUAAUCACAGAGGAGAUGAAUGUGAUGACUCAAUGUCUACCCUUCUUCCGACCAAAGAACCAUAUUUUAUUAGAGUAGGGACCAAAUUUUGUUCUAAGUUAUGAUGGCCAACCUGUAGACCCCAAACCCUAUCCCUCAGAACCCUUUAACCAAAAGCCCACUCUUUUGGGAAAUGAAAGAGAGAGAAAAGAUUCUCUAUGCUCUCCAGGAAAAUAAUAGGGAGAUGGAGAAAAUUCUAUCUUCUCUAAAAACUCCAAAGGCAUAUGUCUUAACUCUAGAAAAACUUCUCAAUCACUCUUUCGAGGACCUUAUUAGUGAAAUGAUACUGAUUCUGCUUUCCAUCGAGCUAAACAAAUUCUACAUCAAAAUUCUACCUCAAGUGAAGGACAUAUUUCAUAAGUUCAAGAUGGCCCCCCUAUCCAAGAAGAUAAAUGAUCCAUCUCCCUCCCAGAACCCAUCACAUCUAGGGAAAUGCAAGGAAAUUCUGAUGGACAGUCCCCCAAAAAACCAUAUAAUGAUAAAGAAUUGCAUCAUUUGGAAUAUUAGGGGUGCUAAUAAUGCGGAAUUUAAGAGACACUACAAAAUAAUAAUUCAAAUACAAAAACCUUCUCUGCUUGCCUUGUUAGAAACAAGGAUGGUUGACCAUACCAAACUGGUAGAUGAGCUUGAUUAUACUAGUAAGAUUUAGUUACCCGCAGCUGCUCCUUUGGGGAAUAGUUAUUAUGUGGGAUAACAUAGUGCUCAACAUCAAUGACAUUGCCAUAUACCCCCAAGCAAUCCAGGUCUUUAUUAAGGUAAACUACUCUACUUUUUUUUUACUACAAUUUAUGCUAGCAAUAAUUUUGAGGAGAAAAAAUCCCUCUAGGCUAAUCUCAUUGACUUUUCAAAUAACAUCAAAGACCUUUCCGAUAACCCUUAGCUGAUUGGGAGAAACUUCAAUGAGAUUCUUAGAGCCUCUUAAAAAUUUGGAGGCAAUAACAUUAAUAUUAAUAAGGUUGCUUAUUUCUGGGACUAUAUCAACUCUGUACUCUAAUAGACCUAGGAUUUAAGGGGGAAAGUAUAUUUGAUCAAACAAAAGGCACAAAAAUAGAACUGGCCUAAUUCUAGAGGGGUUGCAUAGAUGCCUAGCCAACAACUCUUGGAUUAACAUGUUUCUCUAGGCCACUAUGUCCCACCUCUCUAGAACUUACUCUGAUCACUGUUCUUUGCUUAUGAAUCUAAAAAAAAUCCCCCUUUUCUCCAAAACCCCUUCAGAAUAAAAACCAUGUGGUGCUCUCAUCCAUAAUUCCGUUCCAUUGUGGAGAACUCUUUUCCCCAAACAACUCAUUGUCUAAGGCAAUCUCCAAUUUUGAAGCUAAAAUAACAAGUUGGAACAAGAAGAUUUUUGGAAAUAUUUUCCAUAAAAAAACACAUCCUUGCAAGACUUGAAAGGAUUCAGAAAUCGCUAAACUACCCCCAUAUACUCUUCCUCCAAUAUCAUGAAUACAAGCUUUUAAAAGAAUUCACUGAGAUCCUAAAGCAAGAACAAGAAUUCUGAAAAAUCAAAUUCAGAGUAAAUUGGCUUGCAGAAGGAGACUCAAAUACCAGAUUCUUCUACACCUCCACCUUAAACAUAAGAAGGAGGAAUAAAAUCUCCACUAUGAAUGAUGACAAUAGAAUUUUAAUUCCAUGAGGAAAUCCACUCUGAAAUCCUCAAAUUUUAUACCAAAUUAUUCUCCUCCGAAUACCACUCUUCCUCUAUCAAAUGCCAAAACAACCCUUCCUCCAGAGGCUCUAUCAAUACUGAGGACUACCACCUUAUGGAUACCAUUUCCUCCCCUUUGGAAAUCAGAAAAAUUGUCUUCUCUUUUAAGCCCACCAAAGCCCUUGGACUUGAAGGCCUUCAACCCCUUAUAUACCAGAAAUUUUGGGAUAUUAUGGGACCCCCUACCAUUUAAUUUUGCAUUGACACUUUUUCAUCCACGAAAAUAGAACACAAAGUCAAUUCCACCCACCUUAGCCUAAUCCCAAAGUAUUAAAAUACUUCCAGCUUGAGAAACUUUAGAUCAAUUGGUCUAUGUAAAACUCAAUACAAAAUAAUCAUAAGAUUAUUAUUAUCAGACUCAAGACUUUUCUAGCCAAGAUUAUCAGCCCUACUCAAUUCAGUUUCUUACCUAGCAAGACAACCUCUGAUAAUACCAUCAUCAUCCAAAAGGUAAUCUCCUACUUUAGUAAAAUAAAAGGGAAAAAGGCUAACAUAGUCCUCAAGAUUAACCUUGAGAAGGCUUUUGACAGAAUUGAAUGGUCCUUCAUCAGACAAGCCCUUAAUUUUUUUAACAUUCUCCCCAGACUCACUAACCUCAUCAUGUCUUGUAUUUCCCCCUCCACUAUCUCAGUGUUGGUAAAUAGGGGUAAAAUUAAAUGGCUUCAAACCUACUAGAAGGAUAAGAUAAGGGGACCCCCUCUCUCCAUAUAUUUUCAUCAUGCGUAUGAAACUCUUGUCUUGGAGAAUAGACUAUGAGGUGGACAUCCUCAACUGGAACCCCAUUUCCAUCAGCAGAAAAGACCCUAAAAUUUCCUAUAUUUUCUUUACAGAUGACCAUACCUUUUUUGCCAAGGCAAAUGAGAAAAAUUGUUGGGCCAUCAGGAAUACUCUUCAAAGCUUCAGUCACCACUCGGACCAAAAGAUUAAUCACCUCAAAUCAAAAGUAAUCUUCUCUCAAAAUUGUAACAAAGAGGACAAGAUCAACCUCUCAAGCAUCCUACACAUCCAGGCUAAGAAAACUUUUGGAUGAUACCUGGCUUCCCUAUCUUCCAAGAAAAACCUUGUUCUAGUGAUUUUCAGUUUAUUGUUGAUAACCUCAAAACAAAACUGUCUGGAUAGAAAAUAAACUUCCUCAAUCUGGCAGGGAGAACCACUCUAACUAAAACUUCCUUAAGUAGCAUCCCUACUCAUGUCAUGAAUGCAUCUCCCUUCCCUCUACCAUCCAUAAACUUAUUGACAGAACUCAAAGAAACUUUGUCUGGGACUCAACUAGUGAAAAGAGGAAAAUACACGUUCUGAACUGGAACACCAUUACCAUACCAAAGAAUAAAGGGGGAUUGGGUCUCCAAAAAUCCUCCAUCAAGAAUGACACUAUGCUAGCCAACUUAUCAUGGAGAUUUCAUAAAAACCCCAAAAUUCUUUGGGAUACCAUCCUCAAGAGGAAAUAUUCCCAAGAUAGCCACCAAAACAAUCCUAAAAACUCUAACAGUAUCUGGAAAAACAUCACCAAAGGUUGGGGCAUUUGCCAAAGAGCUUCCCUCUGGAUUAUCCAUAAAGGGGAUAAGGUAAACUUUUGGACUGACAGAUGGUUACCUCAUUGUGAAUAAUCUUAAAGACCAUUCAUGGUCCCCUCCACCUAAAUCAUGAAAAAACUAAGUUGUCUGAAGUUUGGAUCACUGGUGAAUGGGGAUUCAAUAACCUUCCAAUGGAACUUCCUCAGGAUAUCCUUCAUACUAUCAAGUCUUCUUUUGCUCCAAACCCUAGGACAUACUCUGACACUCUCAUUUGGAAUAUUACUGGGGAUGGGCAUAGGCAGUUCUCCAGUAAAAAUACCUACAACAUGCUGGCGAGUAUCAAUGAGAACGAUAUCAGGAAUAAUUCCAUCAUUGUCAACUGGAUUUGGAAGGCGAAAAUCUCCCCCAAAAUAAAAAUCUUCCUCUGGCUUAUCUACCACUAUAGGAUCCCUACUAGCCAUACUCUGUUUUGGAUAAAAAUCAGGGACUUAUCAAAUUGCAAAAUUUGUAACCACCCCACCAAGGAUGUUAACCACAUCUUCUUUGAAUGUCAAAAUUUGCAAAAUUAUUCGAGUAAUAUCAUAGCCAAAAGCUCCAAUAAGAACCUGAUUAAUACUCAACAUAUCCAUCCAAAAAAUUGGGGAAAAACUUAGAAAAUUCUCCACCAUGUUGCCUACAAUAAUGUCCUUGACUGGCUGGAUAUCCUCCCUUUCUAUCUCUGCUCUAGCUGAAAACCAGAAAUCUGAAUUCCUUCAAUACCAGCAACACCAUACCAAAUCCUCUUCAAGCCUAUUCUGAAGCACUGGAGUACAAAAUGACCAUCAUGAACAAUGACACCACAACCUAAUACAAUAUCAUCAACAUUAGGUGGGAACCUCCAAUUAAUGGGUUUUUCAAACUUAAUACUGAUGGAUCUUGUUUGGGAAUCCUAGGAAGAGGGGUAUAGGUGGGGUUAUUAGAUUCGACAUCAGGGACUGGAUUAUGGGCUUCUACAAAAGCUUUCAUAAAACUACAAAUAACCACAUAGAACUCACAAUCCUUGUGGAAGGGCUCAAAUUAGUGGAGCAAAGGAACCUGAUACCCAUCAAAAUCAACAUUGACUCAGUUAAGGUAAUAGCCAUGCUAAAAAUAGGUAACUUACACUAUGAUGUCUUGAUAAAUGAUUGUAGGUUAAGUAUAAGAAGAUUAGGAGGCCCAAGGGUAACACAUUGCUUCAGGGAUCAGAAUUGAGUGACAGAUCUCAUGACCAAGGAGGGAUCUAACUCAGCUGAAUUUGGAGAAACCAAACUUUUUAAAGUUUCACCACUGUGUGCUGCAAAAGCAAUGUGGGCAGACAAUGCAAGAACUUUUUUUGAGAGGAGGGUUAAUUCUUGUAACCAAAACAGUGAUAUGCCUCAUAUGAGAUUCUCUAUUUUGGAUCCUGUCUAAUGUAGCAGAAAUGUUUUUGUACAAAAACUAUCUUUAUUUUUAAUUGAAUGCAUGCCUACUUAACAAAAAAAAAACUAGAAGUUCAAAGUUUUUUUUGUGUCAUCUACACUUUUGAAGGUGAAAGAAAGAUACUUGGAGUUGCUAAGAUUGAUAAGAAGAAAGACAAAGUUUCAGCAAAAAAGUGUUAUUGCUAAAGAGAAGAACUUGAAGAGAAAAAUUGAUGAUUCUCAAAAUGUAAAGUUCAAAGUUGAAGUGAAGAAUCAUCCUAAUUCUUCAAAAGGAAUUCUUGAGUCUUAUUCAAUGUUAAAUAAUCUUGGGAGAGAAAAGAUUGAGAAGUAUAAAGGAUUGAUAAAUGACAAUUCAAUAAUGAAAAAAGAAAAGCUUGAGUUGAGGAUAGUGAGUGAGCUAUCAAAAACAGAGAGAGAGAUUUCAAUAUAAAAAGAAUGAAAAGAUAAUUGAGAAGAGUGAAGAAAAAGAGAGUUUGAGAAAAUUUGCUUCUUGUUUUAAUUCUAAUGUUAAUUCUUCUUUGCCUAGUUGUAAUAUCUGUUCUGUAGAUAUAUUUGAAAAUGAAGCUAUGAAGCAAAUAUAAUGAACAACAUUACAUCAUUGAAGAUUCAAGAGUUGGUGAAUACUUAUGGUAACUUCAACAUAGAGGCUGUGUGUCCAAAGUUGGUGGCUUGGGCCAAGAGGUGCAUGCAGAGGGACAGUGUGGCCAAGUCUUUACCUGACCAACAUAAGAUUCUUGAGUUUGUGAAAGUAAUUAGGCAGGCUAAUGGACUUGAAUAAACAUAUGCUUUUGCAGUUAUACAUCAUAAUGUAUUGAAAAGGCGCUUCAUUGAGCCUUUUUGAGGAGUUGUUUCAAGAUUUGAAAUGUUUGUUUGGUCAUACUCUAAGUUCUACUUGUAAUAAAGGACACUUAGCUUGUGUCUUGUUGAGGGUUGUCUUUUGUAGUCUUUGUAUGAAAUUCUGGGGUUCUUUUGUUUCGAGAAGUAAUUAAUCACUUUUUUCAUGAGCAUCAUCUACUACAAUGACACAACUUUUUUAUUCCGAAAGUAUUAUUCUUUUGUACUAAAAUGAUACGCAUCCUCAUGACCUUUGUACAAUUCAGAUAACUAGGUGUGUCACUCUUUUUUUUUCUUUUCGGUAUUCAAUAUUUAUAUAGAAAUUUAAUUAAUUUGAAUUCAUAUCGUAUAGGGCUUAUUCAGGAAAAAAAUGCUCUCUAUUAAAGUUUUUUUUUCAAUUUUUCAUGUCCAAGCACGGUUGAGAUGGUGUUCACCUCAAUCAUCGAUAAAAAAUUAUACUAUUUAUAAGAUUUUUUCUUUUAUAUAAAUAUAUAAAUUUUGAAUUCCCGAAGUAGAAGGUUAGAGAUUUGACUCAAUAAUUGAAAGGAUUCAAAAUUUACGUUGAUUUUCUAAAUUCAAAUGGAAGACACUGCACAAAUUAAGACUAACAUUAUUCAAAUGGUAGAAUUAAGACGAACAUUAUUCAAAUGGUAGACACUACAUAAAUUAAGACAAACAUUCCAGAAUACAUUUUUUCAUGUAGAAAAUUUCAACUUAAAAAGUAAUAUUGUAAAGUAGAUAUGAUAUCUUAAAUUCAAUUUAAGAAAAUAUUUUCUUAUACAUUAGAGUAGGUAAAAGUUUAGGUAGCUAAUAGGUGGACUACAUUAAUAUUUUGAUAGACUUUUUUUUGGUUUUUUUUCAUCCGAUGUUAGAUCGUUCUCAUAUUAAAGCUUAAUUAAUUUGAAUUUGUAUCGAAUAGAGCCAAAUCAUAAAAAUGAUCCCUAGAAAAUAAGAACUUAUACUCUAAGUCUCGAUACCAAAACCUCUUAUCAAGUGAGAGCAACCACCAAAGCGAUUCCAACCACGAUCUUUUAUUAUUGAUGAUGAUAUCAAUUAACCUUGGUAAUACCACCACCCAAAAAAAAACAAUGGACCACCAUGUUGGGUUCAAAAUCGAGAGGGCGUCAUGCGGAAGCUUAAAGUUUUCAAACCAUAAAGAAAAUAAUUCAGAUGACACAAGAAAAACAUAUUAAAGAACAUAUUAUUAAUAUGAUUUGACCAAUUGACCUACAUAUUAAAAAUUAAAUAAAAAAGCAUAAAAACUAUUUGAGAACUCUCUCUAAACAAUACUCUUUAAAACGACUACAUUGUGGAUACUAUUGCGUUUUUGUAUGAAAGGAGGGGUAUUUAUAGAGGUUUAAAACCUUUCCUCUUAGAAAGAGGUUAGCCAAAUAUGAAACAGUUUUAUAUUUUUGUUUUAGGAAAAGUAAAAGUAAUUAUGGUAUUACUUUUAUUUUCCUUUUAAUUACUUUUACUUUCCUUUCAAGAAAAUUAAAACUUAAUUUUGGUAAAAAAAUCAGAGCAAAAAUCCUAACAAAUCUCUCCUUUUUGUCUUGCUUUUCUUCACUUGAUCCAUCUUCUUCACAUCUUUAAUAUUUAUUCUUCACAUAGUUUUUUGCCAUGGUUAAAAAUAAAAUUUAAAAUAUUAUGGUUUAAAGUGGGUUAAAAAUAAAUAUUUUUUUUUAUUUUUAAUGAUGCAACAACAGAAAUGUUGAAAUAUGCUUAAAACUUCUUCUCCACAUGUGGCUAGACAAAAAUCUUCAUUAUCAUCAAAUUGGUUGCAACUUUGAUCUCAUCCUCAAUCUGAACCAUCGAACCAUUGAAUCAUUAGCUCUGAUACCACUUGUUGAGUUCGAAAUCGAGAAGGCGUCAUGCGGAAGCUUAAAGUUUGCAAAUCAAGAUUGUGAUAUUUCAAAUGACAAAGAAAAAUAUACUAAAAAGACAUUAUUGGUAUUAUUUGGCCAAUAAGUCUACACAUGAAAAUUAAUAUUAAAGAAAAUAUAAAACUAUUGGGAGAAAAUCUUUCUCUAAACAAGACUCGUAAACAACUACAUUAUGGAUACUAUUGUAUUUUUUAAUGAAGAGAGAGUCUUCUAUUUAUAGUGGUCUAAAACCUCUUCUCACAGAAAAAUGUCAGUCAAAUAUGAAACAGUUUUAUAUUUUCCUAAAAAUAAUUGUGGUAUUACUUUUAUUUUCUUUCAACAAAAAUAAAACUUAAUUUUGGUAAAAAUUAAAUAAGGAAAAACCCUAACACACCACAGCAUGCUUGUGGACAAAAAGUCAAAAAAUGGAAGGCAUCCACACUACUAUAUAUAUGUGGAUGUGGGUGUAUGUAACCAAGCAACUUUGGAAAAUAUUUUUCUUCAUUCUUCUUAGCAUUUACCUUGUGUUAUUCAUACAACAAAAAUGGCUAAGGAUGAGGUGAUUCUGUUAGAUUUUUGGGCUAGCAUGUUUGGCAUGAGGCUUAGGAUUGCACUUGCUGAAAAACAGGUAAAUUAUGAGUAUAAGGAAGAGGAGGGAUUGCUGAGUAACAAAAGUCCACUGCUAUUACACAUGAAUCCUAUUCACAAGAAAAUACCAGUUUUAAUUCACAAUGGAAAACCCAUAUGUGAGUCUCUUAUUGGAGUUGAGUACAUUGACGAAGUGUGGAAGGACAUAGCACCUCUGCUUCCUUCUGAUCCUUAUGAGAGAGCACAAGCUAGAUUCUGGGCUUACUACAUUGACAAGAAG